rnacentral:lncRNA from 1 species
GCGUGCGCGUCGGCGGCGGCGGCCGUCGUCACGGAGGUGGUGGCGCGGGACCCGGAGGACAAGUGCGUGUACACGGUGUACGUGCGGACGGGGUCCAUCUGGAAGGGUGGGACGGACUCCAAGAUCGGGGUGACGCUGGUGGGCGCCGACGGGUCGGGCAUCCGGAUCCCGGACCUGGAGGGGUGGGGCGGCCUCAUGGGCGCCGGCCACGACUACUACGAGCGGGGCAACCUCGACAUCUUCAGCGGCCGGGGGCCCUGCAUGCGCGCCGCGCCCUGCGCCAUGAACCUCACCUCCGACGGCACCGGCCCGCACCACGGCUGGUACUGCAACUACGUCGAGGUCACGUCCACGGGGCCGCACCUGGGAUGCGCACAGCAGCUCUUCACCGUCGAGCAGUGGCUCGCCACCGACGCCCCGCCCUACCGCCUCUACAAGACCGUCGACAAGUGCCACGAGAAGCGCUCGGCGGCGGCUACUGCCGGGGACGACGUCGAGGCCGCUGCCACCGC